GCUAUUUUUGACUACAUGGUUGAUACGUCAACGUUCACGUAUCGCGUUGGAUCAAACUUCUUGGUACCACGACCAGAAAUUAAUAACGGUCUUGAUACAAUAUUGAGACCUUUUGAGUUUGUUGUUUGGAUUGUGAUGAUCACAUUUGCGCUUGUAUUCGUCAUUGUUACUACAUUCUUUAAUCAAAUUUAUACUUUUACUCAAAGAUAUUAUGGUUUUCGGUUAUCUUUGGAAUUGGGGUUUAUGGUAUUUGGCAUUAUAUUGCAACAGCCAGUAGUGGUAUUACCUAUGAAAAUGUAUUUAAUGUAUAGUGGAAUAUUAUUAUUACUUAUUUUUUACAAUUGUGGGUUUUCCAGUUUAAUGACAAAACCCUCAUAUUUACCACAUAUUUCCUAUGGCGACGAACUGGAAAAAAGCGACCUACUGUUUGUAACUCCAAAUUCAGGCUUCUUUAUGUCUCUGGAUGAAUUACGUUACCCUAAUAUUAAAACAAAAUACACACUUGUUAUGGAAGAUGAGCUAAAAUCGAUCUUAGAUAAGUCUUUAAAAGUAGCAAUUGUGAUAGAUCAUUUA